rnacentral:rRNA from 1 species
UAGAGGAAGUAAAAGUCGUAACAAGGUCUCCGUAGGUGAACCUGCGGAGGGAUCAUUACUGAGUGAGGGCCUCCGGGCUCGACCUCCAACCCUCUGUGAACACAACUCGUUGCUUCGGGGGCGACCCUGCCGUUUGCGCGGCGGGCGCCCCCGGAGGCCUUCUAACACUGCAUCUCGGCGUCGGAGUUUAAGUAAAUUAAACAAAACUUUCAACAACGGAUCUCUUGGUUCUGGCAUCGAUGAAGAACGCAGCGAAAUGCGAUAAGUAAUGUGAAUUGCAGAAUUCAGUGAAUCAUCGAAUCUUUGAACGCACAUUGCGCCCUCUGGUAUUCCGGAGGGCAUGCCUGUUCGAGCGUCAUUUCACCACUCAAGCCUGGCUUGGUAUUGGGCGCCGCGGAGUUCCGCGCGCCUCAAAGUCUCCGGCUGAGCUGUCCGUCUCCCAGCGUUGUGAUUGUCAUUCGUCGCUGCGGAGGGUGGGCGGCCACGGCCGUUAAAUCUUUCACCAGGUUGACCUCGGAUCAGGUAGGGAUACCCGCUGAACUUAAGCAUAUC